GUUGUUGCAAUAGUAAUUCAACUUAGUACGAGAGGAACCGUUGAUUCGCAUAAUUGGUAUUUGCGGUUAGCUGAACAGCUAGUGCCGCGAAGCUAACAUGCGCAGGAUAAUGGCUGAACGCCUCUAAGUCAGAAUCCAUACUAGAACGCGACGAU
rnacentral:ncRNA from 1 species